UCAGCGGCGGACGGGUGAGUAACACGUGGGUAACCUGCCUGUAAGACUGGGAUAACUCCGGGAAACCGGGGCUAAUACCGGAUGCUUGAUUGAACCGCAUGGUUCAAUCAUAAAAGGUGGCUUUUAGCUACCACUUACAGAUGGACCCGCGGCGCAUUAGCUAGUUGGUGAGGUAACGGCUCACCAAGGCGACGAUGCGUAGCCGACCUGAGAGGGUGAUCGGCCACACUGGGACUGAGACACGGCCCAGACUCCUACGGGAGGCAGCAGUAGGGAAUCUUCCGCAAUGGACGAAAGUCUGACGGAGCAACGCCGCGUGAGUGAUGAAGGUUUUCGGAUCGUAAAACUCUGUUGUUAGGGAAGAACAAGUACCGUUCGAAUAGGGCGGUACCUUGACGGUACCUAACCAGAAAGCCACGGCUAACUACGUGCCAGCAGCCGCGGUAAUACGUAGGUGGCAAGCGUUGUCCGGAAUUAUUGGGCGUAAAGCGCGCGCAGGCGGUUUCUUAAGUCUGAUGUGAAAGCCCCCGGCUCAACCGGGGAGGGUCAUUGGAAACUGGGGAACUUGAGUGCAGAAGAGGAGAGUGGAAUUCCACGUGUAGCGGUGAAAUGCGUAGAGAUGUGGAG
rnacentral:rRNA from 1 species